UACUGCCUGUUACCAGCGCGUAAUGGCGGGGACUCUGGCAGGACUGCCCGUGUUAAGCGGGGAGGAAGGUGCGGAUGACGUCAAGUCAGUAUGGCCCUUACAUCCAGGGCUGCACACGUGCUACAAUGGGUGGUACAGUGGGACGCAGGACCGCGAGGUGGAGACUAAUCCCCAAAACCACCCCCAGUUCAGAUCGGAGUCUGCAACUCGACUCCGUGAAGCCGGAAUCGCUAGUAAAGGCGUAUCAGCUACGACGCCUUGAAUACGUUCCCGGGCCUU
rnacentral:rRNA from 1 species